CUAGGAGGUAAAUCUGGUAUUGUGUGAGCUAUGGUAAAGUUUGUGUCAUGCAAAUAGGCCUGGUUAGGAGCUGUAGCGAAGUGAAAGGGUUCCGAACCCGGGACUGUAGUACUUGGAAAAUGCUGACUUUCAAAAUGAUGUCUGUUAUCUUGAUUUGAUUGGUAUCCCGUAUUAAACUGAGAAUUGAUAGCAGAAAUGGUGGUAGAGUCUAU